AAGACUGAGACCAGCCAGAUUCAGAAGACUGUGAGCUGCCUAAAGCCGCAACCAAACAGCUUUCCAAACAAUGAUCUGGACCUGAAACAUCCAGAGCCUGAAAGGGAUCUUGAUGAAGAAAUGCCUCAGCAAGGCUCAGAAGCCAUGCAUUCUUCUUCAGUGCAAGAUUUUGAAGAGACUGAGACCAGCCAGAUUCAGAAGACUGUGAGCUGCCUAAAGCCGCAACCAAACAGCUUUCCAAACAAUGAUCUGGACCUGAAACAUCCAGAGCCUGAAAGGGAUCUUGAUGAAGAAAUGCCUCAGCAAGGCUCAGAAGCCAUGCAUUCUUCUUCAGUGCAAGAUUUUGAAGAGACUGAGACCAGCCAGAUUCAGAAGACUGUGAGCUGCCUAAAGCCGCAACCAAACAGCUUUCCAAACAAUGAUCUGGACCUGAAACAUCCAGAGCCUGAAAGGUGUCACAAUCAUCGUCUGGUGUGCACAACAAUAUCAUCUUUGGACAAGUGCAUUCAGUGUGUGGGACUGGUUUCCUCCCUCAAGUGGCUUGGCUAUAAGUGCAAAGAUGAAAUUGCAUUAAGUGAUGCUGAAACAAAGGACAGUGAGAGUGAAUCAGAUGAUGAUGACACAGCACUCACAAUGUCGGCGUGUGGCACCAGUGAGCCUGUACAUGCAGUAGCUGAUUCCACAAACACAGCGCAGCUCCAAGACACUGUAGAUUGUGAUGAAGGACCACUCACAAUGCCUGCAGCAAGUGAGACUGCUGCUCCCUCUGAAGGUAAGGGGUGCAGUUGGUUCUCUAAGCUUAUUAUUGUUUCAUCACUUUGCAACAUAUGGCAAACUGCAGAGUGGUGGCAAAAAGUCCCUUGGAUGAGUGACAAAAUGUUUCUCCCACUGAAAACGCUACGUCCAGAUUAACAGAAUCAACGUUUUGGGAUUUACUUACCUGGAUGAUUGAGCAUGCAUCAAGAGACUUUUAUUCAACUUUUUAUUCAGUCUUUUAUUCACAGUGGAACGCUAAAUGUUGUCUCAUUUUAGAAAUUUGAUAAAUUUUCAAAGAGAAUUUUAGCUCGUUUUGAUAUUGAUGGUAGCAACACAUUUCAGAAGUUAGUACAGGGUAGCAUCCAUUCUUUUAGCAAGCAAAUGUUUUUUGUUUUUUUUGUUUGUUUUUUUGUUUGUUUUAACUACUACUACUUUAUAUAUCUUCCAGAGAAAAAUGCUGCUCAAUCCCACAAUUCCCGAAGAGCUCCCAAAAACAUGUGGUCCAAGGCUGAGGUUGCUGCAGUGAUGAGGCAUUUUAAAGACCACAUAAACGAAGGGAAACUAGCCACCAAAAAUGAAUGCAGUCAUUGCAAAUUGGUAGAAGAUCCGGUGUUGGCAGGAAGAACAGUUCAAAACAUAAGAGAUUUUGUAAGAAACAGAGGAUUAACUGCAAAAAGGCAGAAAAAAAUGAACUAAAAUAACUGUUUAGCCAGAUGUGGUUUUACAUCUUGGUCAGAUUGCCAAUUGUUGUUAACACUGAUGUUCUGUUUAAAGAAAAAAAAAAGUUCUUGUUAAAUGUUUGUAUUUCAUAAUUUUUACAUUUAAUUUAUUUAGGGUUUUUUUUGACGGGUUAU
ensembl:lncRNA